UACGGAGGGUGCAAGCGUUAUCCGGAAUCACUGGGUUUAAAGGGUGCGUAGGCGGCUUAAUAAGUCAGAGGUGAAAGACUACAGCUUAACUGUGGCACUGCCUUUGAUACUGUUGAGCUGGAAUCAGGUUGAAGUUAGUGGAAUGCGGCAUGUAGCGGUGAAAUGCAUAGAUAUGUCGUAGAACACCGAUUGCGAAGGCAGCUAACUGGGCUUGAAUUGACGCUGAGGCACGAAAGCGUGGGGAUCGAACAGGAUUAGAUACCCUGGUAGUCCACGCCCUAAACGAUGCUAACUCGAUGUAUGGUUGUAAGAUUGUGCGUCUAAGGGAAACCGUUAAGUUAGCCACCUGGGGAGUACGUUCGCAAGAAUGAA
rnacentral:rRNA from 1 species